GGGGUCUCACCGCCACCGCCCCUGGGCCUCGCAGCUUCCCUGGGCUCCCCGGGUCGUCCUCCGUGGGCGGCGCGAGUAGCUGCCCCAGCGGAGCUUGGAGCGCCCGAGUCGGUUCCGAGUGCGCGGACGCCGCGCCCCGCACCAGGCGGGGCCCGGCAGUGGCGGGAAGGGCCGAGGCGCUCGGGGCUUCUAUUCCGUCACCGCGGACGCCUUCCCCUCCCCAGCCCCAGGCCAAUGGGGCGGGUGAGGCGAAGGCAGAGAGAGCCAGAUGUCCUGGUCACUAGCUCCAGUUUUUCUAGAGUGACAAGUGGUUACAAGUCCUUGCUGCCUUCCCUUAGGAAUUAGCGAUAUGCACCAGGAAAAUGCUUCUAGAAGAAAAAUAAUUGAGAUUCACAUACAGAUGUCUUCAUAUUGAGUUCCAGAACUGAAAGAGAAGUUGGAGGUCUCCAUCCAUUCAUCUACUUCACACAUCCCAACAGAGAAAAUGAAGACCUCUUCUGAAAUGAAAGUUGUUUUGCUCAGGACCACAUUUCAUUUCUGCACAAGGGACAGUUGAAACAGAAGCAGAACAGGAAAGAGGACAAAAAAGAAAUGAAGUGAUAGGAAGAGAAACUGAAAGAUACAGCACAAGAAGAACAUCCAUCAGAAAGAGAACAGUAUAGAUUUAGUUACAGAUAAUGAAAGGGCCAAGAGCCACCCUCAGUCACAGGAGAGUAGACGUAGAGAUACAGGUCCUGCAAGCGGCAUUCACAAAAACAAACAGGAGGAAGGAUGGAACACACAGGGAAAAGUGGAAUGAGGCAUACGAAAAGAAAGAAAACAACAGUCUUUCACGGGACAGUAUCCCUUUUAGGCUAGCACCAAGAAAAGCCAUAUUGCAUUUAAAGAAAUGUGGCACAGCCAGGCAUAGUGGUGCAUGCUUGUAAUCCCAGCUACUUAGGACUCUGAGGCAGGAGGAUCACAAGUUCAGCCAGGCAUGGUGGCACAUACCUGUAAUCCUAGCAUUUGGGAGACUAGGAGGAUCCUGCGAGUGUGAGGCCAGCCUGAACUACGUAACAAGACCCUGUCUCAAAAACACAAAACAGAUAAGCAGAAAGUAAAACUUAAGUUUGAGGCCAGCCCGGACAAUUUAGUGAGACUAUCGCAACAUUCUCCUCUCCCGCAUUAAAUGGGGAGGGGGGAAGAAGGUAUGGUGAUGAAUGCCUGUAAUCCCGGCACUCAGAAGGCUGAGGCAGGAGGAUCAUCUCAAGUUUGAUGGUAGCCUGGGCUACAUAGUUCAAGGCCAGCCUAAACUACAUAGUAAGACCCUGUCUCAAAAAAACAACCAACCAAAUUCUACACAUACAUACAUACAUAAA